CCUGUCAGGUAGAUGGAAUAUCUUGGCAAAUGAGAAAUGCUCACUAACAGUGAUGUAAACAAAUUUGUGCACAGAAUUUGAUCGAAAGAAAAUUUUUGUGCGUGUGGAACAUUUCUGGGAUCUUUUAUUUCAGCUCAUGAAACAUGGGACCAACACUUUACAUGUUGAGUUUAUAUAUAUUUUUUAAGUAUAUGCUUGCAUUACUUUGACAUCCCAUCAGCAGUAAGUAUUUAAUAUAUUAUUAUAAUAAUUAUUAUUAUAAAGUUGUGUGGCGAUUGGCAAUGACAGAACUGAUGUGUAAGACAAGGGCCCUGUGUCUGACUGACAGGCUCAUUUAGAAAAGGUGAAGCAACAAUAGAGCUGUGGUGUAAUGUGAUGGACAUCAUGCUAACCCAGGGAAUGCUAAGGGAAUCCAGGUCGUAUGUUAGGCGUUGUGCUGACAAACAGCCAAGCCGGUGCUUUACAGGGAACCAAUAAGCAGGGCAAUUCAAACACGCUGGCGAAGCUGUCUUUGUCUGCCUGGGAAAAUGCAUUACAUUCCUAUCAUAGGAAUGAGGCAGGUAACUUUUAGACCAGAUAGCUGCAUUAUGUACCUCAUAAUAAUUUACAUGAGUUAUGUAAGUAAAUGUGUGAUAGAAAUGUCAUCAUUUUUCUAACAUUAAAAGGUUUGUUUUGGAGCAUUUUUGCAUAAUGACAUAAUCAUAACACUGCCAAAGAAUGAUAACAUUAGCUGUUAUGAAAUGACUCCCCGGGUGUUACUAACACCUAGCCAACAUAAACCUCUUCAAAUCAAGAAACCACUUUCACCAGCGAGGUCCAGCUUCAUCACAGCAUUCCUGGCUCCAUCAUAGCCUACUAGAACACAUUUCAGUAUAAGGAGAGAGCUCCAUAUCCUCUUUGGCUUGCUAGUGCAUUUAGCAUUCUGUCCACUUUAGACGGGCCCCAAUCGGCAGUCCCAUCUGUCUGUCUGUUAAUGGGAAGAGCAGUUAGUGAUUUAGCUACGGGAAUAUUUGUGUGUGUGCUUGUGUUUGUUUGAGUGUGUGUUCGCCUCACAGCCACAGCACAGCCGAGCCCAGUGGAAGGGGGAAUGUCUACCAGUAGGCAUAUAAGCAGGCCGCUGCUCUGUCCUGAAGCUAAAUAGAGUUAAACAUAAGCAGAAUGUUCCAAGGAGAAGCCAGCCAAAAGCCCCUUUGAAGCAGAAUGGACUGAAAGUGACACUUAAAUUAAGGAAGUGACUCUUAGUUGAAGGCUGCUUGGGAAGGCUACUGCCAGCCAAGGGAUAGGGGAUACAUUGAGACCACAAGUAGUCAUUUGAAAUAGACGUGGGUCUGUAUUUGUUAGCAACAUGGCUUGGCCCUCUUUGCUCUCUUCUUCUUCCGACAGUGUCAUAUGAUGGGUGGCCCACACAGAGUACUAGAUGUUCCAGGGCUGCACUGCCCAGUGGUGUCUCCUGAACGUUUUGUAGGCCCGGCGCCAAUACUUUGGGAAACGCAUCCUUCCUCCAUUGGUCCCUUUGCCAUCACUGAUUUGACUGUGUUGGCGUUAUGCUCUACAGUGGGAACCCUUACUCUCACCUAUCCAAAAUAGGUUAGGUUCAUGAUUGCAUGAAGGGGUGGAGGAGGAAAGAACAAUGCAUUUGAACAUUGGAACAGGGCUUUACAGUACAGUACAUGGGUCCUCCUAUCUCCACUUCCUAGUGCUGUUCUCUCUCUGUAACUGUAUUGGAUUAUGACAGUUAGGUCGACUUCCCUUCCUUUUCCCGAUUCCUUCCUCCUCCCCUACAUUUGAGUCACACUUAAUUUCACACUAGCAAUUACGCCGAUGGAGGGAAGCCACAAUCGAAUUAUACACACACACACACGUCUGGUCUGAGCGCUUGGCAGCCAGCCGGGCGUGUGAUUGGGCCAUGAAAAGUGACCUCACAUAUCGGAGGGAAACGAGUUGAUCUGCACUAAGCUGAACGGCAAUUUUCAUAUGUAACAAAACAUUUGGGGAAACAAAAUAGGGUUAAUAUGGUUCUAGAGUGAACUCUCAAUAAUGGAAAAGUGCUAUAUGACAAGUACAUGACUGGGCAAUUAUCAGCUCAAUGGAAAAGCAAACUUAAUGUUAACAGCGUGUGAUUUACACUUUGGAGUGAACUAAGCCAAAGACCACUGCCCUAUUUGAUUGAAUAUUUCCGGGGUUGCUUCCAUCUCGUGGGCGAUAAUGUGAUAAGUGUGUGUUGAGGGAAUGUGAUUUGAUUUGGGGACCCAAGCUUAACCAGUUAAUGGACUGACUGUGUGUACCUGUUUCCAAUUUCCUACAGCUCUAUGUGUGGUGUGGAUCCAUAUUAUUAUUUGGGGAGGGAAUUCCACAUGUAUUUCACAUGUAUUGUAUGUAAUUACACAAGCAGGCUAUUCAAUUGUAGUCAUUGUACUGAAUCUGAAUGUGUACCAACACUGAAGUGUAGGACUCCACUACUAAAUACAUGUAUGUGAUUAUUAUGUAACUACUGCUGCAUUAGCUAGAAUUAGUAUAACGAGGGAACUGUUUCCUACAACAUCCCAUAUCAAAUAAACACUAAAAAUACAGUUUUUAACCACUGCACAACGUUAUUCAGUAGUAUCAAUAUGUUGGCCUUGAAGUAAAAUGUGGUACCACUUUAUGCAGUAGCACUAAGCAUAUUGCCUGAUUGGACCACCUUUGGUGCUGUCCAUUCUAUGCCUGACUGAAAUCAUCCGAUACAGAACCAAUAGUUAAACACACACACACACACACACACACACACACAGAAAGACAUGAGAAACGAGUCGUGACUUCCUAAAUACAUGUAAAAGAGAGACCCCUGUUUCUGACUAAGCCCACACAGAUAUAACCCUGGGAAGGGACGUCACUAGAGAUUCAUGGAUAGGGGGGCUAUGCCUCUUUUAGGGGGGUCUGGUAUACUCCCUCCUGUCCGUUUACUGUUAGCUAGCAGUCUCAAGCCACCGAAGUAUAUAAAGUUACAAGUAGGCCUAACGGUGCAUGUACACUAGAUAAUGGUAAAUUGCCGUGAGCCACUUAGGCCGCCAGUUGUGACUCGCUUGUGGGCGUGCUGGCAGCAUGUUCGAUUGUGCGUCAAUUAUUCAGCAGAGCAAGUUUGUAUGAAGGUUCUGGUUAUUAAAUGGGUACAUAGUUCAAUAGUAAUAUAAUCUGAAACACCCUCUGGUGAUGAACAAACUUUGCUGCCCCGUUUCCAAUUGUCCACAUGGCUGGGAGAACCUAUUCAAAUAACUUGUAACUGGAGAUUCCUUCAAAACAAUUGCCUACAGUUAACGUGUAGGGCACUGCAAGGUUGGGUGACCAGGGUCAUCUGGGACUGCCUCCUGGAGGAAUUCAGGUGUGUGAAGGCUACCUGUGUCCUGCAUAACUUAAUGAGGAUGGACACGAGGACCAGGAGGGGAUCUGCAGCUCGCCACCGUGUCCCAGAGGAGAAGUCUGCUGCUCUGCAGGAUGUUUCAAAGAUGGGGUCCAACAACGAAGCAAGAGAGGCAAUCCGUGUGCGGAAGAUCUUCACUUCUUCGAAGAGGGUGCUGUUCCCUGGUAACAACAUAGACUAGACUAUGCACAAUCAAAGGCUCUUUAAGAGCCAUUCACAUUGCAAUAAGAGUAUUCUUUCAUUUACUUAGCUAUGUCAACUGCAGUUAUUCAAUUCCCAGUUUCUACUUCUCAGGUCAGGGUGCUGUUUAGGUAAGGUUGUGAUGUCUGUACACAAACAAAACUGGCUAUUUUAAAUAACCCAUAUUGAAAAAAUGUAGAACAAUUAGACACCCUAUAACCCACACACUCAUGUAUCAAUCUGAUUGAUGGAUUGUGUUGUGCAGUAAUCAGGCUCAGGUGUAUAAAUGUGGCUCCUUCCACCUUCAAAGAAUAGGCAAGAGGGCCAACCAUGGAGAAUAGUAAGACACUUCAUUAUUUCUAUAACUACGCUAUAUUGUUUGUCCUCGAGUGUCUGUUCAUGUUUUUCAGCAUAAAGUACUCUGCAGCCACUUAGUGUGAUGUGGACACCAGGUGAGACCACACACACAGAUUCCUGUUGAACUCAUUUUCCCAAUAACAGUCUCUCUCCUUCACUUCCUCCUCUUCUCCCUAAAUCCUCUAGGUUAUAUCAGCUGAGUCGGUGAACCACUCCCACAUCUGAACUGGCGACAGAGGGCACAGCAUGAUCAGAGAUAUGUUUUGAUGUGAGAGAGGAUGCCAACCCCCAGGCCCAUCAUCGUCACCUCACCCAUAAUGCAAUUGUGAUGAACAGAGAAUAUUUGGGUAGCACUGUGACUCAUUAAUCAUAUGCUGCCUUCCCUGCCCCUAUGUUCUUACCUCUUUCCCUUUGUCUUUUACACCUCUCUCUCCACCUCUUUCUUCCUCUGUUUUCAUAAUGCACAACAGAUAAGCAUUGAAGUACAGAUUGAACUUGUAUUUAUAAUAUUACAAAUAUAAUAUUUAUUAUGCAUGUAUUUAUAACACUUGGAUAAUGAACUUCUUUCAAUAAAGCGUUUCACAUUCUCUA